GUGGAUGGCUUGAGCCCAGGAGUUUGAGACCAGCCUGGCCAACAUGGCGAAACCCCAUCUCUACAAAAAAUACAAAAAUUAGCCAGGCGUGGUGAUGCAUGCCUGUAGUCCUAGCUAUUCGGGGGACUGAAGUGUGAGAAGCACUUGAGCCUGGGAGGUUGAGUGAGACGUGAUUGUACCACUGCACUCCAGCCCAGGAGACACAGAGAGACCCUGUCUCAAACAAUAAAAAUGAAAAUAACAAAAAUCCAUUGUUCUUCUUUUUUCUUCUAAUAGAGCCCUGGUUCUUUUUUCUAUGGUGAGGAUACAGAAUAUGCCUAGUCCUGGGGGAUUAAUAGUUAAUCUAAGGCAGUGAUGACAAUCUCAUUGUACUUUGCAAUAUAUUUACUUUCCCAUACUCUCUUGAGCUAGAGAAGAUCAAAUAAUCAAGUUCGGAUCAAUGAGACUUAAGAGAAAGUCACCCGAGGAGCUUUUAAGGAUUUCCCUUUUGAUUAGGAAAACAUAAAUCAGGCAAGGAGAGCUUACUGGUGCCUCCUUCUUUUCCUUCUUCCUUUCCUCCCCCUACUCCCUCUUCUCCACCUCCACUUCCUCCUCCCUCUCUUUUUCUGCUUUCUGCCUUCUUCUUAAUUUUAUUUUAGUAAGUAUGCUUAACAGCUCUAUCCUCUUAACAGAUGUUUUUUUUUCUUUUGAGACAGAGUUUUGCUCUUUUUGCCCAGGCUGCAAUGGCGUGAUCUUGGCUCACCGCAACCUCCGCCUCCCGGAUUCAAGCGAUUCUCCUGCCUCAGCCUCCCAAGUAGCUGGAAUUACAGAUAAAUGUUUCAGAAUGCUGCCACCAACCAUCCUGCAACCAUGAGUGGCAAGCCCAAGACCAAAAACCAAAUAUUGAGGAUGGCAAAGAAAAAAGAAAGAGACUGGACUGUUGGGGACAUCACUGAGCCACUUUGCCAAACCUGGAGUUGCCUACCUUCAAAAGUUUUGUUAUAUGACAUAAUUAAUCUUUACUGCUUUGCCACUUCUGGUGGAAUAUUUUAUUACUAUCACCAGAAGCAUUUCUUGGCUUCAAUAACACACAUACUCCAGUGUCACCUGCUUCAAGAGCACUCUACUCAUAAUUCUGACUAAUGUACAUUUCCACAUGUCUGACCCAAAGGAGGAAGAGGCAGAGCAAGACGGCUCAAUAGAAGCCUCCACUAAUUGUCCUCCCCACUGGAACACCAAAUUGAACAACUAUCCACACAAAGAAGCACCUUCGUAAGAACCAAAAAUCAGGUGUGCCAGACAGAAAGUCAUCUCUCUGCUCAACUGAGACAAAUGCAGAUUCAUUGAGCCAGACUAAGGCAUAAGUGACUAUUCCUCUAUGUUCCCCAACAUGUAAAUUGUGGAUUCAGUGAAAGGCUGAUUGAAGAGUCAGAAGAAUGUAACUUUUUGUCUCUUAUCUACCUGGAACCACACCUUAUCUACCUGGAACUGUCCCCUCCCCGCCCCCCCAAUCCCGCCCUGUUUUGAGUUGUCCUGCCUUUCUGGACCAAAUCAAUGCACAUCUUACACAUAUUGAUUGAUGUCUCAUAUCUCCCUAAAAUGUGUAAAAGUGAGCUGUACCCUGACCACCUUGAGCACAUGUUGCCAGGACACAGCCUCCUGAGGGUACAUCUUUAACCUUGGCAAAAUAAACUUUCUAAAUUGAUUAAGGCCUGUCUCAGACACUUUGAGUUGACAAUACACAAAAACUAAAAAGGAAGAAAUUAAAAGAUACCACCAGAGAAAAUCGCAUUCACUAAAAGGAAGACCACAAAACAACCAGAAAACAAAUAACAAAAUGGCAGGCAUAAGUCCUUACUUAUCAAAAAUAGCAUUGAAUGUAAAUGAAAUAAACUCUCCAAUCAAAAGACAUACCAUGGCUGAAUGGAUUUAAAAACAAGACCCAAUGAUCUUUUGCCUACAAGAAACACAUUUCACCUAUAAAUAUAUGUAUAGACUAAAAAUAAAGGGAUGGAAAAAUAUAUUCCCUGCAAGUGGAAACCAAAAAUGAGUAGGAAUAGCUAUACUUACAUCAGAUAAAAUAGAUUUCAAGACAAAUGCUACCAUGCCCAGUUAAAUGUUUUUUUUUUUUAAAGUGUUUGUAGAGACAGGGGUCUUGCUAAGUUGCCCAGGCUGGUCUUGAACUCCCGGUCUCAAGCCAUCUUCCUGCAUCAGCCUCCCAAAGUGCUAUAGGCAUGAGCUACUGGGCCUGCACUGUUUUUCUUUUAAUAUUUUAGAGACAUUGUUCUACUAUCUGCUGGCUUGCAUUGUUUACACUGAGAAUCUUCUGUAAUUCUUAUGUUUGUCCCUCUGUAUGUAAUAUGCCUUUUUUCUCCUGCAUUUUUAACAUUUUCUCUUUGCCACUAA
rnacentral:lncRNA from 1 species